UUCGAUAUAAACAAUGUUUUCUCACUUUUAUGUAAAGUAGCAAAAAAAUUCAGAAAAUUGAGAGUACAACAGCAAAUAUUUGCAAUUUUUGAAUGAAAUCUCCAUUGGUUUGUUUCUUGAACAAGACAGCAUGUGACUAAGCAAAAGACUAAAGACAAACAAAACAUUUCACAGUGUUACAAAUUAUUGUACAAAAGUUGACUUACAAAUUAAAAAAAAAACAAAAUCCUGACUUGUCACUUCUGCUCAGACUGCUAACACAUUUAUACAUUGAGACGUAGAGAUUGUCAAAGAAAACACUCAUCACCUCGAGUGCGUUCACAUGCAACACUUUGCACAUAUCCUAUAGUUUAGAUCUGAGUCAGCAAUUAAACAACCUUGCAGUGUGCAUUUAUUAACACCAUUAUACACAAAACACCGUGACAAAAAGUGUCUGACAUCCUCACCUCUUUGAAGUUCUCAGAAUUGUCUGAACUUUAAACAUGCGUAAACAUUUCUUAGUGGAAAGUCACUUUCAGAGGGGAAUUUAAACAGAUUUUUAUUUUCUUGAUGGGGGAUUAUUUGGGAUGGGGCAACAUAAUUUGAAGUAAAUGUAAAAUAGCAUCCUAAAGUGGAUUUCAGUUCUGUGUGUUGUGUGUACACAGAUAUACAAUAUAUAUAUUAUACACCACACACACACACGUUAAGUCACAUAUACAGUACAACGAGAGGGUUUUCAAGGUGUUUUGAAAAUACAAAGUCCCAAAAUUGGCAGAGAUUUAUGCAUGAAAAUGUUUCAGUGAGCUUUGUGGUAAUGUUUCAGAAAUCCAAAAAACAAAAAAAAAAAAAAAACUGCUGUUUCGAGGAGGGAAAGUCACCUAACUGCAAACUGCAUUACUGAAGAGUGAUUAAAAAGGAGGGAAAUACAUACCACCCAAAACUCUCUAUUCAAUUCAAACAAUCUAAAAUUAACCUCAUCAGAAUUAGGGAAAGAGCUGUUAUAUUCUUGAAAAAAAGGACUUCUGUUCCCCUCGUGACUUACUGGUCAGAAUUUCUAGCAAAAUGCCACAGAUUCAGGAAGUUAAUUUAUAAAAAUGCAUUACACAGAGCUGCAUAAGAAAAAAAAAAUCAGAGUUGCCCCAUUCAAGUUAAACCUGUCCGGAUUGCAAAUUCCAGUCUGAGUGGGGUAUCAGUUGCUCCUGGUGUGCAAAUUGAGCAACUUGCAUGGCAGCACCCUGACAUUAUCGUGUGAACGGGUGAAUGUGAGGCAUCACUGUAAAGCACUUUGACUAAGAAUGUGCUCUAUACAUGUAGUCCAUUUUAAAUACUUUCCACUCAUAUGUCUUAUUUCAUAAUGGUUCAGUCAAGAUUUCAACCCGUGUCUUAUAAAAUGAGCAGGUAUGCAAUUUUUUUUUUGAAGAGAUGAGGGGAUGCACCAGUUGCCCGCUUUGAUUGGCUGCCAUCCAUGACCCAAGGUGGUUCUGUGGUAUGGAUACAGCAACACAUGGCAACAGUGCACGCAACCAGAGCUGACUUGGCAUAAAGCGAGACCUUCAGCGUGAUUGGAUGAUUGCCCACUUCAAUUCUACUGGCUGGUUAUCUGUUACAUGUAAACUUACACAAUGUGCCUCCAUGUGGUGGUGGUGAGAAAUUGCAGCUGAAAUCAAAGGAGUGACGUGGGUCUACUGAGGGCCGCCUAUGAUUUAUUUUUUGAGGGGGGAGCGUAGACUACACUGUUCCUGAGACUUUUCUGCAGGUGUCACAUUUGACUUUGAACAGACACACACACACAGUGGAGAAGCAGGCAAAUUAGCCUCAAAUAAUGUUUUAUGAAGAUGCCCAUUUCCUGAGGGUGAAAUGUAAACAUGCAGCAUUCACUUGGAAAUCUGCACAUGACCUUCAGCUCAAACACAGGGUAAAGCAAACCCAUCACAGGAGGCCAUGUUCCUAUGAAGUUUCAGUCAAAAGUAAAAUUUAAUCAAAGAGACGGACUCUGAGGAACUCGGUCAAGACAAAACAGGAAAAAUGACUCCUGUGCAAUAUUAAACAAAAAAAAUGUACCUGAAAGAGUCAUCAAAUACGAAUAAGUAUGGACUCAGUAUUUAUGCAAAGUGGAACAAAUUUCAGGUUUUAUUUUGUGCAAAAGGAAAAAAAAAAAAAACAUUUUGACUUCAGUGUACAAUAACAAAAAAGCUUCACUGCUUAGAAUUCAGACAAAUCUGAUCAUCUUAAGGGGCCGAAUACUUUUCAGACAGAGAUUC